rnacentral:lncRNA from 1 species
CCGUCUCUACUAAAAAUACAAAAAAUUAGCUGGGCAUGGUGGCAGGUGCCUGUAAUCCCAGCUACUCAGGAGGCUGAGGCGGGAGAAUUGCCUGAACCCAGGAGGUGGAGGUUUCGGUGAGCCAAGAUGGUGCCAUUGCACUCCAGCCUGGGUAACAAGAGCGAAACUCCGUCUCAAAAAAAAAAAAGAAAAGGAAAAAAAAUUUUUACAAAGUCUUAGAGAUGCACAUAUAAGAUCAGAAAAGUAAAGCACAUUAACAAAUUGGUGCAUAUAAUUGAAAAUCAGUUUGAUUUAGAUGCUUUGUUGACUGUGGUUGAAAACUUUAUGAGAGCAAGUUUGUACAAAGAAAAUAAAUCUUUAUCUUUUUUUUUUCCUUCCAACAGGUCAAGUGUUUACAGACAAGAGUAGAGAAAAAGGGAAACUCAUCAAACAAAUAAUGACAUAAGUAGAGAGGUCUGGCACAUUGAUGUUAUCACCAGAUACGGCUUCAUAGGAAGGAGCAGAGCACAGUGAAGUUCAUGGCUAUGGCGGCCGCUGUAGAGUCCAGCUGCACCCUCAGGAAAGCUGCAAAUGUCAGAACACCGAGUACACCAGGAUCCUGCUCCCAUGAUCCUCAUGGCUUAACUCUCUGAGCCCUUUCUGAUGUAAAUGCUAUGCAAGGACACAAGUUGCGGAAACACGCCCUGUCCAUUCAGGAGCCAUGGGGGGCUAUGGAGGCCUGCAGCUGUAAGCACAGGAGCGGUGGAAG